GACGAACGCUGGCGGCGUGCCUAACACAUGCAAGUCGAACGGGGGUAGCAAUACCUCAGUGGUGAACGGGUGCGUAACACGUGAAGAAUUUGUCUAACGGCGGGGGAUAGCCGGCCCAACGGGCCGGGUAAUACCCGCGUACGACCUCUGGAGGGCAUCCUCUGGUGGUGAAAGCCGCAAGGCGCCGAUAGAGAACUUCGCGGCCUAUCAGCUAGUUGGCGGGGUAAUGGCCCACCAAGGCGACGACGGGAGCUGGUCCGAGAGGAUGACCAGCCACAUUGGGACUGAGACACGGCCCAGACUCCUACGGGAGGCAGCAGUGGGGAAUAUUAGCGCAAUGGGCGAAAGCCUGACGCAGCGACGCCGCGUGUGGGAUGACGGCCU
rnacentral:rRNA from 1 species